UGAGUAACACGUAUGCAAUCCACCUGUAACAGGGGGAUAACCCGGAGAAAUCCGGACUAAUACCCCAUAAUAUGGGCGCUCCGCAUGGAGAGUCCAUUAAAGAGAGCAAUCUUGGUUACAGACGAGCAUGCGCUCCAUUAGCCAGUUGGCGGGGUAACGGCCCACCAAAGCGACGAUGGAUAGGGGUUCUGAGAGGAAGGUCCCCCACAUUGGAACUGAGACACGGUCCAA
rnacentral:rRNA from 1 species